GACGAACGCUGGCGGCGUGCUUAACACAUGCAAGUCGAACGGUAAGGCCCCAGCUUGCUGGGGUACACGAGUGGCGAACGGGUGAGUAACACGUGGGUGACCUGCCCCGCACUUCGGGAUAAGCCUGGGAAACUGGGUCUAAUACCGGAUACGACGCACCGUGAGGGUGUGGUGGAAAGUUUUUCGGUGUGGGAUGGGCCCGCGGCCUAUCAGCUUGUUGGUGGGGUAAUGGCCUACCAAGGCGGCGACGGGUAGCCGGCCUGAGAGGGUGGACGGCCACAUUGGGACUGAGACACGGCCCAGACUCCUACGGGAGGCAGCAGUGGGGAAUAUUGCACAAUGGGCGGAAGCCUGAUGCAGCGACGCCGCGUGGGGGAUGACGGCCUUCGGGUUGUAAACUCCUUUCACCAUCGACGAAGGUUUUCUGACGGUAGAUGGAGAAGAAGCACCGGCUAACUACGUG
rnacentral:rRNA from 1 species